GACCGUUCUGGAAGCCUAAUGGUUAGAGCGUCUGCCUCGGAUGCUGGAGGUCGUGGGUUCGAUCCCCAGCCGAGUCA